rnacentral:rRNA from 1 species
GACGAACGCUGGCGGCGUGCUUAACACAUGCAAGUCGAACGAAGUGGCGAACGGGUGAGUAACGCGUAAUCAACCUGCCCUUCAGAGGGGGACAACAGUUGGAAACGACUGCUAAUACCGCAUACUGAAGGCGGGGAUUGCGUGGGAUUAGCUAGUUGGGGGGGUAACGGCCCACCAAGGCGAUGAUCAGUAGCCGGUCCGAGAGGAUGAACGGCCACAUUGGGACCUGGACAAGGCCCAGAAUCCUACGGGGGGCAGCAGGGGGGGAUCUUCCGAAAAGGGCGAAAGGCUGAAGGAGCAAAGCCGGCGGAGUGAUGACGGCCUUCGGGUUGGAAAGCUCUGUUAAUCGGGACGCGGUACCGGAACAGAAAGCCACGGCUAACUACGUGCCAGCAGCCGCGGUAAUUC